CAAAACAGUAUCUGGCCUAAGUCCUUUGUGCGGAUCCACUUUGCUGAGGAGAGAACACCAGAGAUUUGCGUAUCAGUCGUUGCUUGAAGUGAAAUGAUUACACGCCUGCAUUGGAGAAAAGUGAGAAGUGGACUUGUUGACGUCUGAAAGUAUUGACGGUAAUUAAAACUA